GGAUGGUAGUGUAUUGGACUACCAUGGCAGUCACGGGUAACGGAGAAUUAGGGUUCGAUUCCGGAGAGGGAGCCUGAGAAACGGCUACCACAUCUACGGAAGGCAGCAGGCGCGCAAAUUGCCCAAUCCCGACACGGGGAGGCAGUGACAAGAAAUAACAACUCUUGGAUUUCUAAGAAGUGUAAUGAGGAUAAUUUACAACCCUUACCGAAAGCAAUUGGAGGGCAAGUCUGGUGCCAGCAGCCGCGGUAAUUCCAGCUCCAAUAGCGUAUAUUAAAGUUGUUGCAGUUAAAAAGCUCGUAGUUGAAGUUCUGAUUGUUCGGGCCUCGCGCUAUAUAGCCGAGGAACCGACAGUCAUCCGCUUGCAAAUAUAUGUUCGCCUUUAACCGGGUGGCUAUAUGAGUAAGCAAUUUACCUUGAGAAAAACAGAGUGUUCCAGGCAGGUUUGUCCGGAAUGCAUUAGCAUGGAAUAAUAGAAUAUGACUGAAGUCGAUUUAUUGGUUUAAGGCUUUAGUAAUGAUUAAUAGGAACAGUCGGGGGCAUUGGUACUUGACAGUCAGAGGUGAAAUUCUAGGAUUUGUCAAAGACUAACAAAUGCGAAAGCAUUUGCCAAGGAUGUUUUCAUUAAUCAAGAACGAAAGUUAGGGGAUCAAAGACGAUCAGAUACCGUCCUAGUCUUAACUAUAAACUAUACCGACUCGGAUUCAGAUGAAUCAAAAAGUUCAUUUGGGACCGUAGGAGAAAUCAAAGUUUUUGGGUUCUGGGGGAAGUAUGGUCGCAAGGCUGAAACUUAAAGGAAUUGACGGUUUUGCACCACCAUGGAGUGGAGUUUGCGGCUUAAUCUGACCCAACACUGGGAAACUCAUCAGGGCAAGAAGAUUUUAGGAUUGACAGAUUGAGAGUUCUUUCUUGAUUGGUCUAGUGGUGGUGCAUGGCCGUUCUUAGUUGGUGGAGUGAUUUGUCUGGUUAAUUCCGUUAACGAACGAGACCUUAACCUGCUAACUAGUAUUAAUAUCCCAAAUAUUAACUACUUCUUAGAGGGACUAUGUGAUGUAAUCACAUGGAAGUUUGAGGCAAUAACAGGUCUGUGAUGCCCUUAGAUGUCCUGAGCUGCACGCGUACUACAAUGGCACUUUCAACGAGCUUUUCCUGAUCCGAAAGGAUUUGGGUAAUCUUUUUAGUGAGUGCCGUGAUUGGGAUAGAUCUUUGUAAUUAUGGAUCUUGAACUA
rnacentral:rRNA from 1 species